rnacentral:rRNA from 1 species
UACGUAGGGUGCAAGCGUUAAUCGGAAUUACUGGGCGUAAAGCGUGCGCAGGCGGUUAUAUAAGACAGAUGUGAAAUCCCCGGGCUCAACCUGGGAACUGCAUUUGUGACUGUAUAGCUAGAGUACGGCAGAGGGGGAUGUAAUUCCGCGUGUAGCAGUGAAAUGCGUAGAUAUGCGGAGGAACACCGAUGGCGAAGGCAAUCCCCUGGGCCUGUACUGACGCUCAUGCACGAAAGCGUGGGGAGCAAACAGG